rnacentral:rRNA from 1 species
UACGUAGGGUGCGAGCGUUGUCCGGAAUUAUUGGGCGUAAAGGGCUCGUAGGCGGUCUGUCGCGUCGGGAGUGAAAACUCAGGGCUUAACCCUGAGCCUGCUUCCGAUACGGGCAGACUAGAGGUAUGCAGGGGAGAACGGAAUUCCUGGUGUAGCGGUGGAAUGCGCAGAUAUCAGGAGGAACACCGGUGGCGAAGGCGGUUCUCUGGGCAUUACCUGACGCUGAGGCGCGAAAGCGUGGGGAGCAAACAGG